CUUACGCUAAUACCGCAUGCGCCCUUCGGGGGAAAGCCGGGGACCUUCGGGCCUGGCGCGAUUGGAUGAGCCCACGUCGGAUUAGCUAGUUGGCGGGUAAAGGCCCACCAAGGCGACGAUCCGUAGCUGGUCUGAGAGGAUGAUCAGCCACACUGGAACUGAGACACGGUCCAGACUCCUACGGGAGGCAGCAGUAGGGAAUAUUGGACAAUGGGCGCAAGCCUGAUCCAGCCAUGCCGCGUGAGUGAAGAAGGCCCUCGGGUUGUAAAGCUCUUUUGUCCGGAAAGAAAAGCGCCGGGUUAAUACCCUGGUGUCCUGACAGUACCGGAAGAAUAAGCACCGGCUAACUUCGUG
rnacentral:rRNA from 1 species